AGUGAACGCUGGCGGUAGGCCUAACACAUGCAAGUCGAACGGCAGCACAGCAGUAGCAAUACUGUGGGUGGCGAGUGGCGGACGGGUGAGGAAUACAUCGGAAUCUACCUUUUCGGUGGGGGAUAACGUAGGGAAACUUACGCUAAUACCGCAUACGACCUUAGGGUGAAAGUAGGGGAUCGCAAGACCUUACGCGGAUAGAUGGAGCCGAUGUCGGAUUAGCUAGUUGGCGGGGUAAAGGCCCACCAAGGCUACGAUCCGUAGCUGGUCUGAGAGGAUGAUCAGGCCACACUGGAACUGAGACACGGUCCAGACUCCUACGGGAGGCAGCAGUGGGGAAUAUUGGACAAUGGGCGCAAGCCUGAUCCAGCCAUACCGCGUGGGUGAAGAAGGCCU
rnacentral:rRNA from 1 species